ensembl:lncRNA
UUUUUACAAUUCAUCUUCAUCUUCUUUUCUUCUUCUUUUUCUGUCUCUUCAUGUGCAGCGUGAGCGGCGCCUGGUAGCCAAGAGGGAGAGUCUGUUGAAGUCUCUGCGAGGUCUGCUGAAGGCGGGAAGAGGAGCGAGGAGGAGGGAGGGGACCAAGAGCGCGCUGUAUGAGAAGAAACUCCCACUCACUCGUCAUCAGCUAGAGGAAGUGCGUUUAGAUAAAAGUGUUUAAAAAGUCUUUGUUCUGUUCUUCUCAGGAAAGUCGGGGACGGAGCAAAGAAGAAGAAGAAGAGUCAGCAGGGUGCGAAGGAAACGACCAAGAGCCGGAAAUCAGGCGGUGGCGUCAAGAACGAGCUCGGAGAGACGAAGACGAAGAAGACGACAGAGGUCACACCGAAAGAAGAGAAAGACGAGGUGAAGACGUCUGACAGAAAGACGACGACGGACACGAUACAGGAGGUGAAGGCAAAGAGUAAAACGACAGACGAGGAGAAGACCAAGGAAAAGAAGGAAGACGGGAUGAAAGCGGAGGAGAAGCAGCAGCAAAAGGACGAAGAAAAGAAAGACGAGCGAAGGAUUAUUGGAAAGAUCGUCAAGGCGACGGCGGGAAGGGGAACGAAGGUUCAGGUGAAGACUAUGAUGGGAGGAACAGUGGCAACUGCGACAGCGGCUGCCGCGAAGGAGGAGAAGAUGGAAAGCAGAAAGGUGGAGGAGAAGAAAAAGGUGAAGGAGGCGGAGAAAGAGAAGAAAUCCGAACCGGAGAGAACGAGAGCGGCGACAGAGGACAAAAAAGACAAGAGCACGACGACAGCGGAAGAGAAGAAGAAGAGGAAGAGGGGCAAGGACGAAGAGGAGAAACGAAGGAAGAGCGGCGAAGAGGAGAUGCCGAGAAAGCAGAGCAAAGAAGAGCAAAGAAGAGCGCCCAAAGAGAAAGAGAAGAAGAAGAAGAGGAAAGAAACGGAGGAGGAAAGAACGACGCGAGAACCGAAGAAGAACGGGGACAAGAGUGAAAACGUAGCAGUGGAAUCUCAGGAGGAAGACGAGAAAAGUCCGAAGGAGGAAGACGACAAAGCCACAGCAGAAGAAGAAGAGAGGUCGUCGGAGACGAGCGCGGAGGAAAAGAACGACGCCAAGACGUCGUCGGGCGGAAGGGAGGGUGACGGAGGGGACGCAGAAGAAGAGUUUGACGAUGACGCUGACGGACUCCACUCUGCACCGGAUCCACGGAGACAUCAGGAUCUCUCUCAAGUCCGACAACCCGGACAUCAGGAAGUGUCUGGCGGCGUUGGAGCAGCUGAGCAUGGUUUACGUGACGUCUCAACACGUCAAGAGACACAGUGAGCUCGUGGCCACGCUGAGGAAGAUGCGUUACUACAGGGCGAACCAGGCCGUCAUGGACAAGGCCUCCAUGCUGUACAACCGCUUCAAGAACGCCUACCUGCUGGGGGAGGGCGAGGAGGUGGUGAGCACCGCCUUCCUGCGCUCGCUGCUGCAGGAGAAGGAGCGGGAGGAGGCGGAGCGCUGCAGGGAGCGGCGGAGCGGGCAGGGGGCGCCGCAGGCGGAGGUGGCGAGGGCGGCUGAUGGAGACGGGGAGGAGGUGAAGAUGGAGGAGGAGGAGGUGCUGAAAGACGAUGAUGAAAAAUAAG